rnacentral:rRNA from 1 species
GAUGAACGCUAGCUACAGGCUUAACACAUGCAAGUCGAGGGGAAACGAUAUUGGUAGCUUGCUUCCGAUAGGCGUCGACCGGCGCACGGGUGAGUAACGCGUAUCCAACCUGCCCACCACUUGGGGAUAACCUUGCGAAAGUAAGACUAAUACCCAAUGAUAUCUCUAGAAGACAUCUGAAGGAGAUUAAAGAUUUAUCGGUGAUGGAUGGGGAUGCGUCUGAUUAGCUUGUUGGCGGGGUAACGGCCCACCAAGGCGACGAUCAGUAGGGGUUCUGAGAGGAAGGUCCCCGACAUUGGAACUGAGACACGGUGCAAACUCCUACGGGCGGCAGCAGUGAGGAAUAUUAGUCAAUGGACGAGAGUCUGAACCAGCCAAGUAGCGUUCAGGAUGACGGCCCUAUGGGUUGUAAACUGCUUUUAUAAGGGAAUAAAGUGAGCCUCGUGAGGCUUUUUGCAUGUACCUUAUGAAUAAGGACCGGCUAAUUCCGUGCCAGCCGCCGCAGUAA